rnacentral:lncRNA from 1 species
CAAAGUGACUCGCCAUUUGCCCCCCCCCUUACCCAGCUGGGUACUAUCCUAGAGCAGCUGAAAGCGCAGUACCUCGCUCUCAGGUUACAGCGGCAGUCUCUCGGUCCCUGGGGGGGGGGAGUUCGAGCCCGCAGCCUUCUGGUGAAGAAGAGCGCAGAGCCCCGGCCUCUGCUCUCUGCUCUCUGGGGACUUCCUCCUUCUUUGCCCUGAGACGAGAGAAGAGUGAAGAGACGGAGAGGCCUUGACCAGAACAGGGGGGGCUCCGGCUCCCGAGGAGAGGACGGGGUGACCCCACCGUGCUGCUCGGGCUGAGGCGUGACCCCACUGCUGAGCGACGGCGUGGGGGGGGCUUCGGAUCUGCUCCACGUCCGACCUGGGCCGGUUCACCCCUCCCCCGGGGACCCCGGGGGCACCCAGCUUCCCCAGGCUCGUACUGAGGUCACGCCCGAUCGGUGUGCGAGACUCCCGGGAGCCCCGAAAUGCAGCCUGCGAGGAGGGUGGGCCACAAGUGGGUGGUGGUGGUGGGGUGGGGGGGGGUUAGGCGCUGAAAGAUCUUGACAGUGAGAGUCAGGAACAGCGAGCCUGUCUCCCAAUAAUGCUCCAUCUGUCUACAGUAUAUGUCAAUAUUUUAUAACAUGUCUCUGUGGUAAAGGUCUGGAAUAUGUCUGUAGAUUUUAUAUUAUUGUGAUUUUUUUUGUUUCGUUUCAUGUGAAUUUCAUUAUUUUACGUGCUUUGGCAACACCGAUUGGACCCAUCGGUCAGGCUAAUAAAGCCCCUCGAAUUGAACUGAAUUGAAUUGACAGAGCGAGAGAGAGAGCAAAAAUUCACGAGAGAGAGAGAGAGCGAGAGAGAGAGACGGGGCGAUGUGGAGACAGAGAAGCGGGCGCCGAUGGCUCUCGAAGUUGUGUCAGGAAGUGACAGCGCGCAGCAGCAGAACCGCAGGGCCGCAGGGAGAAGGAGAGAGAGGGAGAGAGGGACAGUGCAGGAGAGAGAGAGAGAGAUGGAUACUGAGAUACAGCCAGUGCAGGAGAGAGAGGAGAGAGAGAGAUGGAUACAGAGAUACAGCCAGUGCAGGAGAGAGAGAGA